UACGUAGGGCGCAAGCGUUGUCCGGAAUUAUUGGGCGUAAAGAGCGCGCAGGCGGCUUGGCAAGUCGGGUGUGAAAUCCCGGGGCUCAACCCCGUGACUGCACCCGAUACUGUCAGGCUAGAGGUAGGUAGGGGAGAUCGGAAUUCCUGGUGUAGCGGUGAAAUGCGCAGAUAUCAGGAGGAACACCGGUGGCGAAGGCGGAUCUCUGGGCCUUACCUGACGCUCAGGCGCGAAAGCUAGGGGAGCGAACAGG
rnacentral:rRNA from 1 species